rnacentral:rRNA from 1 species
CCUACGGGAGGCAGCAGUGGGGAAUAUUUGACAAUGGGGGGAACCCUGAUCCAGCCAUGCCGCGUGUGUGAAGAAGGCCCUCGGGUUGUAAAGCACUUUCAGUGAGGAAGAACGCCUGGUGGUUAAUACCCAUCAGGAAAGACAUCACUCACAGAAGAAGCACCGGCUAACUCCGUGCCAGCAGCCGCGUUAAUACGGAGGGUGCGAGCGUUAAUCGGAAUUACUGGGCGUAAAGCGCGCGUAGGUGGCUUGAUAAGCCGGUUGUGAAAGCCCCGGGCUCAACCUGGGAACGGCAUCCGGAACUGUCAAGCUAGAGUGCAGGAGAGGAAGGUAGAAUUCCCGGUGUAGCGGUGAAAUGCGUAGAGAUCGGGAGGAAUACCAGUGGCGAAGGCGGCCUUCUGGACUGACACUGACACUGAGGUGCGAAAGCGUGGGUAGCAAACAGGAUUAGAUACCCUGGUAGUC